CUCAGGAGUCUAAAUUCAAGAGCUGUAGCAUAUAAAUCCUCCCUCAUCCGUGUAUUUUCGUAGCUAUCAUGGGUGUAAAUGCUCAUCAAAAUUCUCUUUAUUUCAUCUUCAAAGUGAUAAGCUAAUCCAAGUCUUUGCAAGGUAUCAAUUAGUUGGAGCUGAUCCAAAGGAUUCACAGCUUGCUUAAGCAUCAGCCUCACCUCUUCCUUCAGCUUAUUGAUUCGUUUUGUGCAC
rnacentral:misc_RNA from 1 species